GGGGGGGGGGGGGGGGGGGGGGGGCGGGGGCGGGGCGGGGGGGGGGGGCCGGCGGGUGGGGGGUGGGCGGGGGGCGGACGGGGGGGUGACACGGGAGUAACCUGCCCCGGACUUGGGGGUGACUUCCGGAAACUGGGGCGAAUACCGGCUCGGCGCUCCUGCUGCAUGGGGGGGGUUGGAAAGUUUCGGCGGGUGGGGAUGGACUCGCGGCUUAUCAUCUUGUUGGUGGGGUAGUGGCGUACCAAGGCUUUGACGGGUAGCCGGCCUGAGAGGGUGACCGGCCACAUUGGGACUGAGAUACGGCGCAGACUCCUACGGGAGGCAGCAGUGGGGAAUAUUGCACAAUGGGCGGAAGCCUGAUGCAGCAACGCCGCGUGCGGGAUGACGGCCUUCGGGUUGUAAACCGCUUUCGCCUGUGACGAAGCGUGAGUGACGGUAAUGGGUAAAGAAGCACCGGCUAACUACGUG
rnacentral:rRNA from 1 species